rnacentral:misc_RNA from 1 species
AAGUCGUAACAAGGUUUCCGUAGGUGAACCUGCGGAAGGAUCAUUAACACGUAUCCAAACGUUUAACCCCCUGUGAACCUUCAAUGUGCUCGUCAAAGCGAGGCAAUCCCUGGUAAAUCAUCGCCGAACAGUUUUGAUUCUGGGACUUCCUCAAAGAGUGUACAUGUGCGCGAGGCAAGUGGCCUGGCAUUCCCAAACAGUUAGUGUCUAAAGUGUCAAAGGUUGUGUAAGGAUGACGCAGUAACGAUCGUUGGAGGCCGACACGGCCGACGACCGGGUCACCGGGCGCAAGCCCCUUUAUCACCACUUUAUGCAUGACAGACGUAGCACUUAAUUGUGCGCAAACAACAAUGGAUAUCUUGGUUCUC